AGCACCAAUUCGGCCUCCUGUACUUGCAACAGAAGAAACAUUGUAUGCAAAACGUUCUGCUGAAACUGCAGCAUAUAUGCCAUCAUAUGAAACAUAUACUUCUGAAAUUAUGUCUUCUCUGCCUCCAUUUGAGCUAUCUACUGUUGAAUGUAAGU